UUCUUUCUUGGUCCCGGAUCGAACUUGAGUUCUGGCCCUUGCCAGGCAGUCGCCAGAACCAAUGAGCUAUAUCCCCAGCCCAGCCCAACAGUGCUUUUUCUAGAUGAACACAGAUGUUCAAAUUCUUUGUUCAUUAUCAUGGAGCAAUCUUUGCCAAGGUUACUGGGGAAAGGAGGUAUCUAGGCUCGGAGAAGAGCCUGGCCCGCCUCUGGUGCCCCUGAAAGCCCUGCACUCCUCCCUUGGGUCCCACGGAGGGAAGCUCCGCCCCUCUGCCCGGGGCCAAUCACAGGGUGCAGGCUCAGGGUCAGGACCUGUCCAGACUCCAGAGGCCACAGUGGAAGAGGCGGGGAACGGAGAAGCUCAGAUCCCCUAAUGCUGUUUAGCCGGCGCUGAGGACUGCUGGCACUGUACCUGCUUUAGAGUUAGUGUCCCCGGAGGCAAGCGCGAGGCAGCCAUCUCAGCGAAACAAGGCGUCCGGCUGGAGCGCGCAGGAGCGGAAGUGGGGGCGGGGCACAGAUCAGCCUCCUGGGAAACCGCAAGAGCCGGGUCUUCCGCAGAGCCCGGGAAUUUACGAGCGGAGUCGGCGAUGUAGCUCAGUGUUGCCACGUCUGCCUGGCAAGCCGAGGUCCUGAGUUCAGUUCCUCAGAAGGGUAAUUUAGCAAAAGCAUUUGGCACAGUUCUUGGAAUGGGAUUGUAGUUAAGAAUUCAAUAAGUGGUAGGUUCAUAUUUUGGACAGGAAUUUUAAGACGAGUGCACUGCCACUAAGUGUUGCUAUUCAUACAGGGGAAGCUCAUUCCUCUUGGAGAUCUUGAACAAAGUGUCUGAAAGGCAAAGUAGAUGCAACUAUUUUCUGCCCCAGAGACAGCUUGGCCAGUCAAAUGUGAUUGAAGAGAGGUCAGUAUGGAGCAGGGCUUUUGUGAGCCUCCAUGUAGAUCUGCUAACUCACCUGUUUCCAUCUGCCACAAAGCCAGCAUAGAGGAGCUUGCCCACCAUAGAUGUUAAUGUGAGUCUUACUAAGCUUUUGAAGUUGCUGGGUCAUACUAGCUUGGCAUAAACUGAAUGGUCUGCUGGUCAAGUACAUAAGAUCAAUCCCCUAGCAUACCUGUUAAAAUCCUUUGUCAAAUUCUAUUAAGAAAGAUCACAAAUGAUCUCAACAGUGGU